rnacentral:rRNA from 1 species
GAUGAACGCUGGCGGCGUGCCUAAUACAUGCAAGUCGAGCGAACGGACGAGAAGCUUGCUUCUCUGAUGUUAGCGGCGGACGGGUGAGUAACACGUGGAUAACCUACCUAUAAGACUGGGAUAACUUCGGGAAACCGGAGCUAAUACCGGAUGAUAUUUUGAACCGCAUGGUUCAAAAGUGAAAGACGGUCUUGCUGUCACUUAUAGAUGGAUCCGCGCUGCAUUAGCUAGUUGGUAAGGUAACGGCUUACCAAGGCAACGAUGCAUAGCCGACCUGAGAGGGUGAUCGGCCACACUGGAACUGAGACACGGUCCAGACGCCUACGGGAGGCAGCAGUAGGGAAUCUUCCGCAAAGGGCGAAAGCCUGACGGAGCAACGCCGCGUGAGUGAUGAAGGUCUUCGGAUCGUAAAACUCUGUUAUUAGGGAAGAACAUAUGUGUAAGUAACUGUGCACAUCUUGACGGUACCUAAUCAGAAAGCCACGGCUAACUACGUG